rnacentral:lncRNA from 1 species
CUCUAGAACAGUUAAAGUACAUGGUGCCACAAAAUCAUCCCAUUAUUGCACAAAUGUAGUUAUUUGUGAACAUGGAUGCUAAUAAACAAUUGGCCAGCUAAUGAGUGAUUGCAAUAUGUAUAUAUAUAUAUAUAUAUAUAUAAAUGCAACAUUCAAAUGUCAUAUAAAAAAGAUGUGGUAUAAUUCAUUAUUGCCAAUGAGACAUUUACUCUCCACAAGAGCCCAAAUGACACAUAAAUUAACAACUAAGCCUGCUUUACUUAUGAUUGAAAAUUUUUUUUUUUAAUAAUAUCACAUAAACUUGAUCCAUGAAAAUGAAGGCAUGGUCAGUUUAACCAGUCAAGCAAAUACAGCUUACAAUCAUUUCAUAUACCAAUAUAGUGGCC